rnacentral:rRNA from 1 species
AAGCUCGUAGUUGAAAUUGUGUUCUGCGGCGUCGGUCUACCGAUUGCGGUACGACAGGCGCGUCUGCGGAGCUUCUCGCCGGUGCGUGUUCUUCGCCGGUACGUUCGCAGCGCGUUUCGGCGCGCUCGACGUCGAGGCGGGCCCUCGCGGCUGUUUACUUUGAACAAAUUAGAGUGCUCAAAGCGGGCUAUCAUUUGCCUGAAUAUUGUGCGCAUGGAAUAAUAGAAUAGGACCUCGGUUCUGUUUUGUUGGCUUUCUGAUACCAGAGGUAAUGAUUAAUAGGGACAACUGGGGGCAUUCGUAUUGCGACGUUAGAGGUGAAAUUCUUGGAUCGUCGCAAGACGGACUAAAGCGAAAGCAUUUGCCAAAGGUGUUUUCAUUAAUCAAGAACGAAAGUUAGAGGUUCGAAGGCGAUUAGAUACCGCUGUAGUUCUAACCAUAAAUGAUGCCAGCCAGCGAUCCGCCGAAGUUUUUUAUUUUGAUUCGGUGGGCAGCUCCCGGGAAACCAA